rnacentral:rRNA from 1 species
UUCCGGUUGAUCCCGCCGGACCUGACUGCUAUCGGAUUGAUACUAAGCCAUGCGAGUCAUUGUAGCAAUACAAGGCAGACGGCUCAGUAACGCGUAGUCAACCUACCCUAUGGACGGGAAUAACCUCGGGAAACUGAGAAUAAUGCCCGAUAGAACAUUAUGCCUGGAAUGGUUUAUGUUCCAAAUGAUUUAUCGCCGUAGGAUGGGACUGCGGCCUAUCAGUUUGUUGGUGAGGUAAUGGCCCACCAAGACUAUUACAGGUACGGGCUCUGAGAGGAGUAGCCCGGAGAUGGGUACUGAGACACGGACCCAGGCCCUAUGGGGCGCAGCAGGCGAGAAAACUUUGCAAUGUGCGAAAGCACGACAAGGUUAAUCCGAGUGGUUUCUGCUAAAGGAACCUUUUGACAGUCCUAGAAACACUGUUGAAUAAGGGGUGGGCAAGUUCUGGUGUCAGCCGCCGCGGUAAAACCAGCACCUCAAGUGGUCAGGAUGAUUAUUGGGCCUAAAGCAUCCGUAGCCGGCUCUGUUAGUUUUCGGUUAAAUCUGUACGCUCAACGUACAGGCUGCCGGAAAUACUGCAGAGCUAGGGAGUGGGAGAGGUAGACGGUACUCGGUAGGAAGGGGUAAAAUCCUUUGAUCUAUUGAUGACCACCUGUGGCGAAGGCGGUCUACCAGAACACGUCCGACGGUGAGGGAUGAAAGCUGGGGGAGCAAGCCGGAUUAGAUACCCGGGUAGUCCCAGCUGUAAACUAUGCAAACUCAGUGAUGCAUUGGCUUGUGGCCAAUGCAGUGCUGCAGGGAAGCCGUUAAGUUUGCCGCCUGGGAAGUACGUACGCAAGUAUGAAACUUAAAGGAAUUGGCGGGGCAGCAC